AGUAACGCGUGGGCAACCUGCCUUGCACUGGGGGAUAACAGCCAGAAAUGGCUGCUAAUACCGCAUAAGACCGAAGCGCCGCAUGGCGCAGCGGCCAAAGCCCCGGCGGUGCAAGAUGGGCCCGCGUCUGAUUAGGUGGUUGGCGGGGUAACGGCCCACCAAGCCGACGAUCAGUAGCCGACCUGAGAGGGUGACCGGCCACAUUGGGACUGAGACACGGCCCAG
rnacentral:rRNA from 1 species